AGUGAACGCUGGCGGUAGGCCUAACACAUGCAAGUCGAACGGCAGCACAGUAAGAGCUUGCUCUUACGGGUGGCGAGUGGCGGACGGGUGAGGAAUACAUCGGAAUCUACUUUUUCGUGGGGGAUAACGUAGGGAAACUUACGCUAAUACCGCAUACGACCUACGGGUGAAAGCAGGGGAUCUUCGGACCUUGCGCGAUUGAAUGAGCCGAUGCCGGAUUAGCUAGUUGGCGGGGUAAAGGCCCACCAAGGCGACAAUCCGUAGCUGGUCUGAGAGGAUGAUCAGCCACACUGGAACUGAGACACGGUCCAGACUCCUACGGGAGGCAGCAGUGGGGAAUAUUGGACAAUGGGCGCAAGCCUGAUCCAGCCAUACCGCGUGGGUGAAGAAGGCCUUCGGGUUGUAAAGCCCUUUUGUUGGGAAAGAAAAGCAGCAGGUUAAUACCCCGCUGUUCUGACGGUACCCAAAGAAUAAGCACCGGCUAACUUCGUG
rnacentral:rRNA from 1 species